UGUCAUUUAACAAAGAAAAAUCAACCAAAAAAAUGAGUUCGCGUGUCAGAGGUGACAUAGGUUCGCCAUCACUGCCCUAGAACCAUCCUCUAAAGCACUAUUUUUCAACCUUUUAAAAAUCCACGUCCCUUUAGGAUGAGGAUAAAUACAUAUUACCCAUUAGAGGCUUCUCUUGGUUAAAUGGACUUGACCAUUUCGCCCCCCCCUUUCCCAGCUAAGAUUUUCCAAACAUCUUUUAAUAUUGAAUGUUGAUGUAAAAAAUAUGCUCAGAAAUGACUGCCUUGAGGACCACCCGCUGCCCCUCAAUUAUGCUGAUUGAGAAUGUUCAUUAGUUCUGCAGAAAAUAUUGUCUAAAGAAUGGGCGAUUUCCCAAAAGCACCUUCUCAAUAGUUUCUGAAGUGGUAGGUUACACUUCUUUGUAAUAAACUAUUAAAUGCUGUUAAGUGGUGUCUGGGCAGUAGAAGUGCAGAGUUUACCUGUAUAGUUCAAAUAUGUAUCAGGUGGCAGUACAAGUUAAUGGUCUUGAGUCUACAUCUGUAACGUGUGCCUGAAGUGCACACAUGUGAGCUCACACCAACACAAAUGGGCAUUAAGUUGUCUCUAUACACAUGUACUAAUAGGAAUUCCAUGGGUUUUAUUUAUCAUCUGACCUUAAUUUUGUGAUAGAUAAAUUCUGAUAGUUGCUGUCUAAAGAUUUAAACAAAAAAUAUCAUUACAGCCAUGGUUCAGUGGUUGAGCAUUGACCAGUGAACCAGGAGGACACAGUUCGAUUCCGGUCAGGGUACAUGUCCAGGUUGUGGGCUCGAUCCCCAGCAUGGGGCAUGCAAGAGGCAGGCAAUCAAUGAUUAUCUCUCAAUAUUAAUGUUUCUAUCUCUCCUUCUCCCUUCCUCUCUGAAAUCAAUAAAUAUAUUUUUAAAAGUAUCCUUACAGAAAGAGCAAAGGAAUCUGACACUUUCCCUCCUUAUCACGGUGGUGCCGCCGCAUCUGAAGAUCAGUUAACUGGCGUUCAGGUAGGAAAAGUCGGGAGUUGAUUUUCACGUGGAGCUUUUCAUCAUUUCUCUGGCCCUAAGCGUGUGUGCACCUCUGUGGUGAGUCUACACAGUUCUCUCCUUUUACUGCUUGGUACUGCUGAGGGGUCCUGGUUUUGGCUGAGGAAGGUCACCAGAGGAUACUCCCUCAGCAUUCCAUCACCGUGUUCUUUUUCUUUAUGCCUCUUACUGAUUGUGUGUCACUGACAUUCCUGCACUCCACUCUGACUCUCUUACAUAUUUUUUUAAAAAAAUAAUAUAUUUCUAUUGAUUUCAGAGAGGAAGGGAGAGGGAGAGAGAUAGAAACAACAAUGAUGAGGGAGAAUCAUUGAUCGGCUGCCUCCUGCACGCCGCACACUGGGGAUUGAUCCUGCAACCUGGUCAUGUGCCCUGAUAGGGAAUUGAACCGUGACCUCCUGGUUCAUAGGUCAGUGCUCAACCACUGAGCCACACCGGCCGGGCCAACGCUCUUACAUCUUAAAUUCAGUCCAGGCCUUGGCCCCGCAGCCUGAGAAUGAUCUGGGCCAGGAGAGCUCCAGCUACUGGGGCAUCUGUAAGUGUUCUUCUAGUUCUGCUGUGAAGCCACAGUUACGCCUCUGUGUUCCUUCGUGAAAUAAGCCUCUACUAUGACACCAGAUGCUUGGCGACAGAAAUAAAUAACACCAAGUUCCUGUCCUCAGCGACUCUCAUUAGAGUGGGGAAGAUAAAUGCAGAAAGAGGUGAUAAAAACCAGGGCCAGUGCAGUGAUUGGCAUUCGCCUGGGGUGUUCUGCAAACUCUAAGAGGGCCACUUAGCCUAUAGGAGGGUUGGGUGGCAAUGGAGUGUUAUGCGAGGCUCCCGGAGGGGGACUCUAGGCUGUCUUAAAGAUGAGUCGUGUUUAAUCAGGUGGAGAGGGGAGGAAAUGAACUAGAUGGAGGGAACAGCAUGAACUAGAAUUCUCUGUAAACAACAGUAACUACUAAGGAAGACAACAGGUACGCUUAUUCCAUUUGGGCACCAACAGAUGGUUCUGCCAACUUCCUAAAUAAGAAAUGAUUCAAGCCCUAACCGGUUUGGCUCAGUGGAUAGAGCGUCAGCCUGGGGACUGAAGGGUCCCAGGUUCGAUUCUGGUCAAGGGCAUGUACCUUGGUUGCGGGCACAUCCCCAGUAGGGGGUGUACAGGAGGCAGCUGAUAGAUGUUUCUCUCUUAUCCAUGUUUCUAACUCUCUAUCCCUCUCCCUUCCUCUCUGUGAAAAAUCAAUAAAGUAUAUUUUUUAAAAAAGAAAUUAUUCAAAUACCAUGAAAUUUCAUCAAAUUCGCUGCAUCUUUAAACGCACGAUGCUUGAUUUAUCUCAUAAUGACAAAGAAAUAUGUAAGUCUGUCUCUGCUUCAAACUUAACUGUUGUGGGGUACAUAUUAGGCAGCUUACUGAUAAAGGAAAUGUUAGGAGCUGAUUUUUUUCUUUUUCCUUUUGUUAGGAGUUGAAUUUGAUGAGAACAAAAAACAUGAACUUCCUGUGUUCUAGGUCACCACCUUCUAUCCUCUUUCCUUCUUCGAAGUACUUGUACGAGUCUUUUGUCCCCUAUGCGUUUGUCUCCAAUUUUCUACCUCUGUGAAUUAAUAAAGUUUUUCCUUUCAUUG